rnacentral:lncRNA from 1 species
AAAUUUAUAUUGAAAAUCUUUAUCUUCUGUCGUAGCAAAAUUCGUCCCUUAUCAUUUAACUUAUGAUUUUCAUCGAAGUUUCGUACUUACUAUUGUUUAAUGAGGAUAACGAUAAGUUCUACGAUUAGAACUUAUCGGGUUAUGCUUGAAUCCAAUGGGAUGGAAUUCAAGUGUUUUUUAUCUUCUCAUAAUAUGGCAUAUAGAUAGGGG